ACGACUACAUAUCAGGCAUAUCAAUAAGCGGAGGAAAAGAAACUAACUAGGAUUCCCUCAGUAACGGCGAGUGAAGCGGGAAGAGCUCAAAUUUGAAAUCUUCAAGGUUUUACCUUGACGAAUUGUAGUUUAAAGAAGUGUUUUCUGUUGGAGUUUUGGUAAAAGUUCUUUGGAAUAGGACAUCAUAGAGGGUGAGAAUCCCGUAUUUGACCAUUAUUUCCAGCUUUGUGAUACACUUUCAAAGAGUCGGAUUGUUUGGGAAUGCAGUCCAAAAUGGGUGGUAAAUUUCAUCUAAAGCUAAGUAUUGGCGAGAGACCGAUAGCGAACAAGUACCGUGAGGGAAAGGAUGAAAAGAACUUUGAAAAGAGAGUUAAACAGUACGUGAAAUUGUCAAAAGGGAAGCGUUUGACACCAGUGUUGUUUCUACGAAAAUCAAUUUAUGAUGGCUUGAUGCUAAGCUUUAAGACUUUAUCCGCUUGUUGUUUAGUUUUCUUGUCUUUGUGAAUGCACUUUUCGUGGAACAAGUCAACAUCAAUUUCUUUUGCUGUAAAAGGGUAAGAGGAAGGUGGCUUCGGCUUCGGUUGAAGUGUUUAUAGCCUUUUAUCUCUGCAGUCGGAGAGAUUGUGGUCUGCAGCGUAGACUCUUCGGGGUUAGAUACGUCGGUGCUAAGCUAUAGCUUUUCAUAGACAACCUGUUGACUAUGUUUAGUCAUGUGGCUUACCCGCUGGCGCUAUUUUACCUACGCUUAGGAUGUUGACACACGCGCGUGCUCG
rnacentral:rRNA from 1 species